rnacentral:lncRNA from 1 species
CCUUGUCAGCUGCCAGCAGGAGCUCGCGGCAGCAAAACAUGUUAUGCUCGCGUGUUAGAUCGCCGGUGGAUGUGGUGCGGAACUAUCGCGCAUGCUGGAUUCGCAGCAGGUCUAUGCAGUAUAGCGUUAUGCUGUUUCACCCGUGCCCGACUGCUGCGUAGUAAAUUGGGUCUCUGCGUUGAGCAUGACUGCUACAGUUGCAUGUCACUGUUUCCGGUGAAGCUACCAAUGCCUUCCCUGUUGCACACUUCCAAGAAAGCAACUCUAUGACAAGACCUAGCGAUACCAUGAGGUUAAGAUUUCUCGUUAUCUUUAUCAAGCGCCAAAUAAUAGGGGAGACUUGCAGGCCUGUGUAUUAUUUGAUCCUGUGAUGUAACAUCUGGGUGGUGACGCAGGUUGAAGUCACCUGUGAAGACCAAGGAGCCACUGGUCGUCAGCAGUACGUUGCAAUUGAAAGCAUUGCCGUUUGAAUAAGAAGCGCCUUGGACGGUUCCUGAACAAGAGGUUUUGAUAAUCUCCGCAACGCAUCAAAUAACCCAAAGGGACCCCAGGAAGAAAAAAAAAAACAAGUUGUGAUAAAGAGAAGUGACUGCUUUCACCUGAACGAAUGGGGGAGCAGUCAGUGAGAGAGAGAGAGAGAGAGAGAGAGAGAGAGAGAGAGAGAGACUCUUUAUUAGAAUAACAGAGAAUUUUGCCGGCGCGUAUACAACCGCUGGCCUGCUACUCUGUAUAGGGAUGUGGAGUGGGAUUAAAAGAUUCCAGAGGAGAGUGGGAGAAAAAGAGAAUAAAAAAUAAAUAUGAAAUGCGCAAGUGGACCUGAUACUAAUAUUUACAGGUGACAUGGCGGAUAAAUUUAGGCUUUUGUAUAUGAAA